rnacentral:rRNA from 1 species
AUUGAACGCUGGCGGCAGGCCUAACACAUGCAAGUCGAACGGUAGCACAGAGAGCUUGCUCUCGGGUGACGAGUGGCGGACGGGUGAGUAAUGUCUGGGAAACUGCCCGAUGGAGGGGGAUAACUACUGGAAACGGUAGCUAAUACCGCAUAACGUCGCAAGACCAAAGUGGGGGACCUUCGGGCCCCACACCAUCGGAUGUGCCCAGAUGGGAUUAGCUAGUAGGUGGGGUAAUGGCUCACCUAGGCGACGAUCCCUAGCUGGUCUGAGAGGAUGACCAGCCACACUGGAACUGAGACACGGUCCAGACUCCUACGGGAGGCAGCAGUGGGGAAUAUUGCACAAUGGGUGCAAGCCUGAUGCAGCCAUGCCGCGUGUAUGAAGAAGGCCUUCGGGUUGUAAAGUACUUUCAGCGGGGAGGAAGGCGGUGAAGUUAAUAACUUCACCGAUUGACGUUACCCGCAGAAGAAGCACCGGCUAACUCCGUGCCAGCAGCCGCAGUAA